AAUUAUGGGAGGUGCCAAUAACAUUGCUAGAAAUGAGACAAAGAAUUGUAAAAAUACUUUAAAGAGAACACUUGCUGCACUAACCACUACGAAUGUUGUGGUUUUUAAUAUACCAAUUAGGCAUGAUUUAAUAAAAGAAUCAGUAGUCAAUAAGGAAAUUAUAAAAGCAAAUAUGGACAUAAACAAGCUAUGUAAAAGAUUUAGAAAUGUAAAAGUGAUGGACUUAAGCAAUAUAAGUAGAGCUUAUCAUACAAGGCAUGGGCAGUAUUUAAAUAGAGUAGGUAAAGAGUAUGUCACUCAAGAAAUAAGUAAAAUAAUAGGUAAUAAUAGAGAAAUCAACUCUGAAGUGAUAGCCUUAGGUUUUUUAAGUCAGGGAAAGUAAUAAAAAAGACUGGACCACAAUGGUUCCAAUCAUUACAAAAUAAAAAAAAACUCUACCCAGGCAACAAUUAAAAAUAAUACAUCAAAAUGCACAGUAUCUCAGAAAUAAAACUGAGCUAUUUACAGCAUUCCUCCAAACUACCACACCAGAUAUCUUGGCCACUUCUGAACAUGGUCUUAAAGAUGAUGAAAUAAUUCAAUGUACAUUAGAAGGUUACACUGUAGCUUCACACUUCUGUAGAAAAGAACAUAAAGGGGGUGGGAUAGCUAUUUAUAGCUCUAAGAAUUUAUUACAAUAUAAAACAGUGAAAUGGAUUACAGAAAAAAGUAUAGAAAAAACAUUUGAGGUUGCUGGUAUAGAACUAACAGGUGAAAGAAAGAAAAUAACAAUUAUUGCAUUAUAUUGAUCACCAAGUGGUGCAUUACAUGAAUUUUUCAUACAGUUAAUAGGUAUUCUUGAGCAAUUAGUACAGAAAGAUUGUUAUAUUAUAAUAGUAGGUGAUUUUAACAUAAAUACUCAAGAAGAUGGGUGUGACCACAAACAGUUACUAGAUGUUAUAAAUACUUUUAAUCUGACUAUGACAAUAAAUAUACCCACUCGAGUAACUGAAAGUAUGGCAACAAUUAUAUACCAAAUCAUUAC